AGAAUAGUAUUUAAAUUUAUAAAAUCUAAUCUGCAAUUAGAAGGUGUCGGGGGCCUAUUCU
rnacentral:tRNA from 1 species